UAAAUUUCUACACUUAAGAAUAAUUGUGUGGAACAAUACAGAGAAGAUUAGCAUGGCCCCUGCGCAAGGAUAAUAUGCAAAUUCGUGAAGCGUUCCAUAUUUUA
ensembl:snRNA U6 U6 spliceosomal RNA